rnacentral:rRNA from 1 species
UACGUAGGGGGCUAGCGUUGUCCGGAAUCAUUGGGCGUAAAGAGCGUGUAGGCGGUCCGGUAAGUCCGCUGUGAAAGUCGGGGGCUCAACCCUCGAAUGCCGGUGGAUACUGUCGGGCUAGAGUGCGGAAGAGGCGAGUGGAAUUCCUGGUGUAGCGGUGAAAUGCGCAGAUAUUGGGAAGAACACCAGUGGCGAAGGCGGUUCUCUGGGACGGUACUGACGCUGAGACGCGAAAGCGUGGGGAGCGAACAGG